rnacentral:rRNA from 1 species
GACGAACGCUGGCGGCGUGCUUAACACAUGCAAGUCGAACGGAAAGGCCUGCUUGCAGGGUACUCGAGUGGCGAACGGGUGCGUAACACGUGGGUGAUCUGCCCUGCACUUCGGGAUAAGCCUGGGAAACUGGGUCUAAUACCGGAUAGGAGCCAUUUUUAGUGUGAUGGUUGGAAAGUUUUUUCGGUGUAGGAUGAGCUCGCGGCCUAUCAGCUUGUUGGUGGGGUAAUGGCCUACCAAGGCGGCGACGGGUAGCCGGCCUGAGGGGGUGGACGGCCACAUUGGGACUGAGAGACGGCCCAGACUCCUACGGGAGGCAGCAGUGGGGAAGAUUGCACAAUGGGCGCAAGCCUGAUGCAGCGACGCCGCGUGGGGGAUGACGGCCUUCGGGUUGGAAACUCCUUUCGCUAGGGACGAAGCUUUUUGUGACGGUACCUAGAUAAGAAGCACCGGCUAACUACGUG